UACGUAGGGUGCAAGCGUUAAUCGGAAUUACUGGGCGUAAAGCGUGCGCAGGCGGUUUUGUAAGUCUGUCGUGAAAUCCCCGGGCUCAACCUGGGAAUUGCGAUGGAGACUGCAAGGCUAGAAUCUGGCAGAGGGGGGUAGAAUUCCACGUGUAGCAGUGAAAUGCGUAGAGAUCUGGAGGAACACCCGUGGCGAAGGCGGCGCCCUGGUCCGUUACUGACGCUGAGACGCGAAAGCGCGGGGAGCGAACGGG
rnacentral:rRNA from 1 species